ensembl:snRNA U6 U6 spliceosomal RNA
GUGCUCACUUCCACAGCACAUAUACUAAAAUUGCAACGAUACAGAGAAGAUUAGCAUGGCCCCUGCACAAGGAUGACAUGCAAAGUUGUGCAACAUUCCACAUUUUU